GGCUGCCGUGUAAGGGGUAAGGGGAAUAGGCUUCCGCCGAGGAGAGAAAGGGGAGACAUUUUGGGGAGCGCGUCUGUCGCCGGUAUCGCUACCGCAGCGGCGGUCGGACGAGGGAGGAGGAGGGCCGGUAAGGGAGGCGCGGCCGGAUGCGAUCACAGGGUGCUCGUGGGGCCAAGGAGUGGACGGGGGCGCGACAUUGUCGGGUGGCUGGGAAAGGGUGCCGGAGGAGAGGAUUCCAGCGCCGCGGGCGGCGGCAGCUCUAGGGUCUCCUCAUGCACCUACUACAGCUUCGCCACUUGUAACGCCACCUGCAGUGAGUCGAUUAACCUUUCUGGGGUUACCAUAUAGAUUUAUUACAACAGCUUCCAACACAGCGAUUAUAACGGCGUUUCGAACUCAUGUACCCUGGAACGGCUUCGCAGUUUCUGUCCUAACGCAAUUCGUACUAAUCACUACGUCUUCUGUUUCCUAAUUAAAGAGGUUUGUUCUGGUAAAACCAUCUUGGUUGAUGACCCUUAUGACCAUAUCCUGAUCGACGUCAUCGACGACGAUCUCCUAUGUUUUACUAUCGUUGAUACGGAAGUAGCUAUCUACAACUCUCUGCAUAAGAACAUGCGCGUAAACCUCGUCUAUAGCACAAUUGACUAGGAUGUUGUCCCGAUUUUCCUCGACAACUGUUUCGGCUCCUUUAUCAAAGCUUCUGUGGCUUACGUAUGUACAAAGUCGUUAAGUUGUUAAGUCGGUUGUCACUCUAGGUGAAAGUUUGGUGUCCGGGUCUUUAUACCCUCCUGUGUGACCCAUGACAACUGUAUGAAUAACGCUCGUAACCCUGACCUCCAUGGUAGUGGCCGUGACCCGCGAUGAAUUUUUACUACUUGUCUCUAUAAUUCCAGUAGCCCCAUCUUGGACGACUUUGAUCACACUAAAGACCACUGUUCGGUCCAAUAUAAGGUUCGUAUGAUCUACACGUCGAGGAACUACUCCAACACUUCCAAUGGUGACGCCUCCGUCAACUACAACGCUCCGAUGAACGUGAUUUUCUCCCGAACGACCAACCGUAAAGCAGUCCACGGCGUCGUUAACGACGAUAUUUGCACCGGUUUUCUGGACUUUUACGACCUUUCGACUAACGCCAAUAGAAGGGGUCGAAACCUCUUUCUAUAUAGAGAUCGUAAAACAAGGCCGGCUAUAUGUUGAGGCAAGCUUCCUACUCCUUCUCUACUGAUUGAAGCGGGUGAGGUUCUUUCGGCUUAGGCUGUCCGAACGUGUCGUACUGUUUGUAUUGUGUAGUUCGUCCCAACUCCACAUCUUACGAGGCCGUCUUCCCGUGCCCAGCAUCUUCAAACUUUAUACCCGCCUCAACGACGGCUCACCCGACGUCCUGACGUACUUGAACCAAGGUAUUUUUGGGCUCCCUUCCCUUUUAGUACUCAACAACAUAUGACAUAAUAGACGGAGUCUGCAAACCUUGGGCCACUUUGUACGUCUCGAUCUACGCCAUCGAGCGAAUCCUAGAAACAAACUUAUCAGAUCCCAACCUUGUUUUGUCUCUAAACAGUAGACUAUAAACUGACUAGAAUGAUUUACCAGAGGAUAAAAUCAACCACUAACCAAGCGAGUCUAAUACGAGGACCUAAUCCAAAAACCCAAGUCUGGGUCGUCAUGACGUCUAGCUUUCAGGUUUAGCGAGUAAGCACCCUGGGUGACCGUCCCUGGCUAAACCGCCGCGCGCAGGACUAAAGAGAUCGAGCGGCUCCGCGGCGGCUGCUUCCGGACGUCGCUUCCGGGGCUGCUGCCGUAUCGGAUGGAUGGAAAGAUGUGGGCGCGCCGCCGGAGACAACGACGUAGGCGAGGCGUUGAGAGGUCGCCAUUAAGCCAGCUCGGCUUGUACAGCCGUAGGCUAGACGGGCUGCUCGACACCCGCGCGCAGGACCUCGAGCCGCGGCGGAGGCGGCGCGACCCCAAGGCGCUGGAGACGACGGAGCGGUAGCGGAGCGCGGCGGAGGCGGCGGAGAGGGAGGUGGGCCGGGAGACCAGCCCGGAGGAGAGGGCGCUGAAGGGGAGGGUUAGGGUCGGGAGUAGGAAGGGGAGGAGGAGAAGCGUCGUCGUCGUCGGGCUAGGGUUUAGGGAGAUGUCCUGGUUCAAGCUCUCCGUGUUCGACGCCUACCGCCUCCGCUCCGCCGCCCGGCACAUGCUCCGCCUCCCCUCCCACCACCGCACGGCCUCCGCAGAGUGCCUCGACCUCCUCAGCUACACGCGGCUCCCCCUAUCCUAGUUCCGGUGGCGCGUCCUCGACCUGUCGGAGCUCUCCCAGUCUUCUCGAAGCCACCGUAAUUUGCACACCGUUGGUGUUCAACAAGUACCCGCAGUCUUUGUCAACCAAGUCGUUACGUGACAAGGACAACUAAGAGCAGAAUCACGAGAUGUGUACCUCGACUUUCAAACAUUCGUUGUUUAUCGUUGAAUGUUCUUACGAAUGUUGUUCCUCUUCGAGUUCAACUUACUCAUGCUCCUUCGUAACUCUGCUCGUUUUAUAGUAGGAUACGUCUUAACAUCACUAUGUUCGCGUGGACCUUUACUCGGUGUUCGUUUCUCCUUCUCUGACUUCAUUUUGGUAACAAGUGGUAGCCUAGAAGUAAACGGAGUUCUGUUUCCGUAGGCGUCACGUCGUUCACGGUUCUAUAAGCAAAGCCCCUUUUCUCAGGUUUACGUGACACCUAAGAAGCAGCCAAGUAAACAAACCCGUACACACGCGUGUACUACAUGCACCGCAACAAGGAAAGGUCGUCUUACUUGCUUAGUUCGAGUUGACUAGGGAAGGUUAACGGCUUUCUUAGAAUAGGAAAAGAAAACCGCCGCUUUUUCGUUAAAAGGGUGGUUAACGACGGCUCUCUUACAAUAAGAGUAGCUUACACAUGGCACGUCGGCGGUCGAUGAGCACACCUGCGGUCGAUAAAAGUCUCGUCUUAUCAGGCCGGGACCACGAACCGGCAGUGCUUCAACACCCGCCAGCUGAAAAGAUGUCGUCUUCCUGCUGACCAGACUAACCUAAAGAAGUCGACUGGCAACCAAAGACCCCUCGCAUGACAUACUUUGACAACCGAGCCACGAGAAGUAAAACGGAACGUAAAGCCCAAACCUCUACAAGAGUAAGUAAACAUACGAUCAUGAUUCGCCAGUUGAUCGGAAUUUUCGUAGGAGCAGGUACCGCUCACUACUCGUCGGAGACGUUUGGAAAACACUGAGAAUUAAACCUAAGAACUGAAUUCUAGCGAGUAAGUG
rnacentral:rRNA from 1 species